rnacentral:rRNA from 1 species
AGUGAACGCUGGCGGUAGGCCUAACACAUGCAAGUCGAACGGCAGCACAGUAAGAGCUUGCUCUUACGGGUGGCGAGUGGCGGACGGGUGAGGAAUACAUCGGAAUCUACUUUUUCGUGGGGGAUAACGUAGGGAAACUUACGCUAAUACCGCAUACGACCUACGGGUGAAAGCAGGGGAUCUUCGGACCUUGCGCGAUUGAAUGAGCCGAGGUCGGAUUAGCUAGUUGACGGGGUAAAGCCCCACCAAGGCGAGGAUCCGUAGCUGGUCUGAGAGGAUGAUCAGCCACACGGAAACUGGGACAGGUCCAGACUCCUACGGGAGGCAGCAGUGGGGAAUAUUGGGCAAUGGGCGCAAGCCUGAUCCAGCCAUACCGCGUGGGUGAAGAAGGCCUUCGGGUUGUAAAGCCCUUUUGUUGGGAAAGAAAAGCAGCAGGUUAAUACCCCGCUGUUCUGACGGUACCCAAAGAAUAAGCACCGGCUAACUUCGUG